UACCGGUGGAGUUCUUAUAUGUGAUUAAAUACUUGUAUUUUUUCAUAUGUUCCUCCUAUUUAAAAACCUGCACUAGUGCUCUUAAACGAGUGUUAUUGUGGGCCGGUACUAUUACUUUGAACAAAUUAGAGUACUUAAAGCAGGCUUCAAAUGCCUGAAUAUUCUGUGCAUGGGAUAAUGAAAUAAGACCUCUGUUCUGCUUUCAUUGGUUUUCAAAUCAAGAGGUAAUGAUUAAUAGGAGCAGUUUGGGGGCAUUAGUAUUACGACGCGAGAGGUGAAAUUCUUGGACCGUCGUAAGACUAACUUAAGCGAAAGCAUUUGCCAAAGAUGUUUUCAUUAAUCAAGAACGAAAGUUAGAGGUUCUAAGGCGAUCAGAUACCGCCCUAGUUCUAACCAUAAACGAUGCCAGCUAGCAAUUGGGUGUAGCUACUUUUAUGGCUCUUUCAAUCGCUUCCCGGGAAACCAAAUCUUUUGGGCUCCGGGGGAAGUAUGGUUGCAAAGCUGAAACUUAAAGAAUUGACGGAAGGGCACCACCAGGAGUGGAGCCUGCGGCUUAAUUUGACUCAACACGGGAAAACUUACCAGGUCCGAACAUAAGUGUGUAAUAAAGAUUGAUAGCUCUCUCUCGAAUCUAUGGGCUGUGGUGCAAGGCUGUUCGUAGUUCGUGGAGUGAUUUGUCUGGUUAAUUCCGAUAACGAACGAGACUCCUGGAUAUUCCACAGAUAUCUACAGGAUUAUGGUGCUGAAGCUUAUGUUAGCCUUCAUACAUGGUGGCAGUAACAUGUGUAUUGUGUAUGAAUGUGUGUAUGACAGUGGGAGCCGUAACCUGUCGGGUUUGUCCCAUUAUAAGGACACUAGCUUUCUUAAAGUGGACAAAUUGCGUCUAGCA
rnacentral:ncRNA from 1 species